UCCAGACUCCUACGGGAGGCAGCAGUGAGGAAUAUUGGUCAAUGGCCGGAAGGCUGAACCAGCCAAGCCGCGUGAGGGAGGAAGGCGCAGAGCGUCGCAGACCUCUUUUGCCGGGGGACAAAAGGCCGGACUCGUCCGGUCCUGAGGGUACCCGGAGAAAAAGCAUCGGCUAACUCCGUGCCAGCAGCCGCGGUAAUACGGAGGGUGCGAGCGUUAAUCGGAAUUACUGGGCGUAAAGCGCGCGUGGGCUGGAUGACAAGUAAAGGGUGAAAUGCCACGGCUCAACCGUGGAACUGCCGUUGAAACUGUCAAACUGGAGUAUGUGAGAGGGCGGCGGAAUUCCUGGUGUAGGAGUGAAAUCCGUAGAUAUCAGGAGGAACAUCAGUGGCGAAGGCGGCAGCCUGGCGCAAAAC
rnacentral:rRNA from 1 species